rnacentral:lncRNA from 1 species
UGUUUGGAGUGACAGGUUUCCUGUGGGCCCUGGCAGCCAACAAGGACUAUUGUUUGGAGCAUGCCACACUGAUGCUUGUGCAAGGGGAGGAGACGAGGAGGACAAGGAGGCAGGCGAGCUUCAUUCCUUGGUUCAUGAAAUAGGAAUAUUUCCAAGAAGUAAGAGAUGGGCAUUUUCAUGGUGUCAGAGGCACUCGCAGCAUCUACCCUUUGAAUUAGUUUCAAGUUGCUGCGUAAGAAAUGACUAAUUCAUUAUGAUCUUGAGGCCGUGCAGACUGACCUAUAAUCUUAGAAUUACUAAGCCAUUAUGAAAGGUUUUCUAUUAGGUAAGUUUCCAUCCCUUUACCAUUCAACAUUUUGCUAACUCAAAGCAUUUUUACAAAUAUUUAAUUGAUUGGAAUCUGGAAAAGUAAUAAGCUUUUUUUCUGUUCUUAUAUGGCAUCCCCAAUAUCACAGUCUAUAACUGAUUUGAAAGAUUACCUAUAGCCCCUGGAUAUUCUUCUCCCCAUGUUAAAAGAAAGCAGGAAAAAUGAGAUUUGUGGAUGCAUCAUUACAAAUCGAGAUCAGUGGCGGGUGAAAAUUCU